rnacentral:rRNA from 1 species
CCUACGGGAGGCAGCAGUGGGGAAUAUUGCACAAUGGGCGAAAGCCUGAUGCAGCAACGCCGCGUGAAGGAAGAAGGGUUUCGGCUCGUAAACUUCUAUCAACAGGGGCGAAAGAAAUGACGGUACCUGAAUAAGAAGCCCCGGCGAACUACGUGCCAGCAGCCGCGGUGAUACGUAGGGGGCAAGCGUUAUCCGGAUUUACUGGGUGUACAGGGUGAGUAGGCGGCAUGGUAAGCCAGAUGUGAUCGCCAUGGGCUUAACCCGGGGAUUGCAUUUGGAACUAUCAAGCUAGAGUACAGGGGAGGAAAGCGGAAUUCGUAGUGUAGCGGUGAAAUGCGUAGAUAUUAGGAAGAACACCAGUGGCGAAGGCGGCUUUCUGGACUGAAACUGACGCUGAGGCACGAAAGCGUGGGGAGCGAACAGGAUUAGAUACCCUAGUAGUC